GACGGAGGGUGCUAGCGUUGUUCGGAAUUACUGGGCGUAAAGGGCGCGUAGGCGGCUGCUCAAGUCGGGUGUGAAAGCCCGGGGCUCAACCCCGGAACGGCACCCGAGACUGGGCGGCUUGAGACCGGGAGAGGUGGGUGGAAUACCCAGUGUAGAGGUGAAAUUCGUAGAUAUUGGGUGGAACACCGGUGGCGAAAGCGGCUCACUGGCCCGGUUCUGACGCUGAGGCGCGAAAGCUAGGGGAGCAAACGGG
rnacentral:rRNA from 1 species